GACGAACGCUGGCGGCGUGCCUAAUACAUGCAAGUUGAGCGAUGAAGAUUGGUGCUUGCCCCGAUUUGAAGAGCAUCGAACAGGUGAGUAACGCGUGGCGAAUCUGCCUUUGAGCGGGGGACAACAUUUGGAAACGAAUGCUAAUACCGCAUAACAACUUUAAACAUAAGUUUUAAGUUUGAAAGAUGCAAUUGCAUCACUCAAAGAUGAUCCCGCGUUGUAUUAGCUAGUUGGUGAGGUAAAGGCUCACCAAGGCGAUGAUACAUAGCCGACCUGAGAGGGUGAUCGGCCACAGUGGGACUGAGACACCGCCCCAACUCCUAAGGGAGGCAGCAGUAGGGAAACUUCGGCAAUGGACGAAAGUCCGACCGAGCAACGCCGGGUGAGUGAAGAAAGGUUUCGGAUCGUAAAACUAUGUUGGUCGGGAAGAACGUUGGUCAGAGUAAAAAGUUCAUCAAGUGACGGUAACUAACGAGAAAGGGACGGCUAACUACGUG
rnacentral:rRNA from 1 species